CUACGGGAGGCAGCAGUGGGGAAUAUUGGACAAUGGGGGCAACCCUGAUCCAGCAAUGUCGCGUGUGUGAAGAAGGCCUGAGGGUUGUAAGGCACUUUCAGUGGGGAGGAGGACUGCAAGGUUAAGAGCCAGGUAGUUGGACGUUACCCACAGAAGAAGCACCGGCUAACUCCGUGCCAGCAGCCGCGGUAAUACGGAGGGUGCGAGCGUUAAUCGGAAUUACUGGGCGUAAAGAGUGCGUAGGUGGUUUGUUAAGUUAUCUGUGAAAGCCCUGGGCUUAACCUAGGAAGGCCAGAUAAGACUGAUGAACUCGAGUAUGGGAGAGGGUAGUGGAAUUUCCGGUGUAGCGGUGAAAUGCGUAGAGAUCGGAAGGAACACCAGUGGCGAAGGCGGCUACCUGGCCCAAUACUGACACUGAGGCACGAAAGCGUGGGGAGCAAACAGGAUUAGAUACCCCGGU
rnacentral:rRNA from 1 species